UACGUAGGUGGCAAGCGUUGUCCGGAUUUACUGGGCGUAAAGAGCGCGCAGGCGGUCGGAUCAGUCGAAUGUGAAAGCCCCCGGCUCAACUGGGGAGGGUCAUUCGAUACUGUCCGACUCGAAGGCAGGAGAGGGAAGCGGAAUUCCCGGUGUAGUGGUGAAAUGCGUAGAUAUCGGGAGGAACACCAGUGGCGAAGGCGGCUUUCUGGCCUGUUCUUGACGCUGAGGCGCGAAAGCUAGGGGAGCAAACGGG
rnacentral:rRNA from 1 species